CCCUUGAUGAGCGAUGAAAGCGAGAGACGCAGAGAAAUUGGUGUAGCGGGGGGCCAUGGUGCACUACCGACAGCGCGCGCAUACACCACCACCAACCGCCUCUUGUCUUCUUCCCCCCUUCUUCUCACGUCCCCCGGUCCGUCAUUUAUU
ensembl:ncRNA W10C8.12 ncRNA